CCUACGGGUGGCAGCAGUGAGGAAUAUUGGUCAAUGGGCGCGAGCCUGAACCAGCCAAGUAGCGUGAAGGAUGACUGCCCUACGGGUUGUAAACUUCUUUUAUAAAGGAAUAAAGUGAGGCCCGUGUGCCUUUUUGUAUGUACUUUAUUAAUAAGGAUCGGCGAACCCCGCGCCAGCAGCCGCGGUAAUACGGAGGAUCCGAGGGUUAACCGGAUUUAUUGGGUUUAAAGGGAGCGUAGAUGGGUUGGUAAGUUAGUUGUGAAAGUUUGCGGCUCAACCGUAAAAUUGCAAUUGAUACUGGCAGUCUUGAGUACAGUUGAGGUAGGCGGAAUUCGUGGUGUAGCAGUGAAAUGCUUAGAUAUCACGAAGAACUCCGAUUGCGAAGGCAGCUUACUAAACUGCCACUGACAUUGAUGCUCGAAAGUGUGGGUAUCAAACAGGAUUAGAUACCCCUGUAGUC
rnacentral:rRNA from 1 species